UCCAUUGUUGUAAGUGGAGUAUUAAAGUCCCCUGCAAUUACCACAUUCUUACCAAUAAGAUUGCUUAGGUUUGUGAUUAAUUGUUUUAUAUAUUUGAGUGUUACUGAAUUCGGUGCAUAAACAUUUCUAAUUGUUAGCUCUUCCUGAUGGAUAGACUCUAUAGAUAUAUAAUGCCCUAUUUCC